GAUAAGAACGCAGCGAAAUGCGAUAAGUAAUGCGAAUUGCAGAAUUCAGUGAGUCAUCGAAUCUUUGAACGCACAUUGCGCCCUGUGGUAUUCCGCAGGGCAUGCCUGUUCGAGCGUCAUUUCAACCCUCAAGCCUCGCUUGGUGUUGGGCCCUGCCCGCCGCGGCCGGCCCUAAAGAUAGUGGCGGCGCCGCCUGGCCCUCAGCGUAGUACAGCUCUCGCUCCAGGGUCCGGCGGCAGCCUGCCAGAACCCCCCAACUCUGUGGUUGACCUCGGAUCAGGUAGGGAUACCCGCUGAACUUAAGCAUAUCAAUAAGCGGAGGA
rnacentral:misc_RNA from 1 species